rnacentral:ncRNA from 1 species
GGAACCUAGAAAUUCUUGAUGUUCUGUUUUUGUCAGCAAUGUUUGAACACGAUGUUCAAACAAGCCGCCGCUGAGCCAUGGACGGUGAAUCGGCGGCGGUUGCGUCCGUUAUCAAUUCCUAAUAUCAGAACAGCUUAGAAUUUCUUGGUUUCA